AGCAGCCGCGGUAAUUCCAGCUCCAAUAGCGUAUAUUAAAGUUGUUGCAGUUAAAAAGCUCGUAGUUGAAUUUCGGGAUCAAUUGAUCGGUCGUGCCUCUGGUACGCACUGGUUUUAUUGGUUUCUCCCUUCUGACGAACCAGGAUGUCAUUAAUUUGGUGUCUUGGAGAAUCAGGACUGUUACUUUGAAAAAUUGAGUGUUUAAAGCAGGCUAACGCUUGAAUACAUUAGCAUGGAAUAAUGAAAUAGGACGUUUGAUCCUAUUUUGUGGUU
rnacentral:misc_RNA from 1 species